GAGUUCUCGUUGAUGAUCGGUGCUUGCACCGAGAUUCAACAUGGAACGAGUGGCGGACGGGUGAGUAACACGUGGGUAACCUGCCCUUAAGUGGGGGAUAACAUUUGGAAACAGAUGCUAAUACCGCAUAGAUCCAAGAACCGCAUGGUUCUUGGCCGAAAGAUGGCGUAAGCUAUCGCUUUUGGAUGGACCCGCGGCGUAUUAGCUAGUUGGUGAGGUAAUGGCUCACCAAGGCGAUGAUACGUAGCCGAACUGAGAGGUUGAUCGGCCACAUUGGGACUGAGACACGGCCCAAACUCCUACGGGAGGCAGCAGUAGGGAAUCUUCCACAAUGGACGCAAGUCUGAUGGAGCAACGCCGCGUGAGUGAAGAAGGCUUUCGGGUCGUAAAACUCUGUUGUUGGAGAAGAAUGGUCGGCAGAGUAACUGUUGUCGGCGUGACGGUAUCCAACCAGAAAGCCACGGCUAACUACGUGCCAGCAGCCGCGGUAAUACGUAGGUGGCAAGCGUUAUCCGGAUUUAUUGGGCGUAAAGCGAGCGCAGGCGGUUUUUUAAGUCUGAUGUGAAAGCCCUCGGCUUAACCGAGGAAGCGCAUCGGAAACUGGGAAACUUGAGUGCAGAAGAGGACAGUGGAACUCCAUGUGUAGCGGUGAAAUGCGUAGAUAUAUGGAAGAACACCAGUGGCGAAGGCGGCUGUCUGGUCUGUAACUGACGCUGAGGCUCGAAAGCAUGGGUAGCGAACAGGAUUAGAUACCCUGGUAGUCCAUGCCGUANACGAUGAAUGCUAGGUGUUGGAGGGUUUCCG
rnacentral:rRNA from 1 species